GACGAACGCUGGCGGCGUGCUUAACACAUGCAAGUCGAGCGAUGAAGCUCCUUCGGGAGUGGAUUAGCGGCGGACGGGUGAGUAACACGUGGGUAACCUGCCUCAUAGAGGGGAAUAGCCUUCCGAAAGGAAGAUUAAUACCGCAUAAGAUUGUAGUUCCGCAUGGAACAGCAAUUAAAGGAGUAAUCCGCUAUGAGAUGGACCCGCGUCGCAUUAGCUAGUUGGUGAGGUAACGGCUCACCAAGGCGACGAUGCGUAGCCGACCUGAGAGGGUGAUCGGCCACAUUGGGACUGAGACACGGCCCAGACUCCUACGGGAGGCAGCAGUGGGGAAUAUUGCACAAUGGGGGAAACCCUGAUGCAGCAACGCCGCGUGAGUGAUGACGGUCUUCGGAUUGUAAAACUCUGUCUUUGGGGACGAUAAUGACGGUACCCAAGGAGGAAGCCACGGCUAACUACGUGCCAGCCGCCGCCGUAACAC
rnacentral:rRNA from 1 species